CCGCGCCCUAGCGCGAGGGGGAGGGCCUGUGGCACGGCCCCGGGGCUGUCCGCUCCGCUCGCCCGGUGCGUGUCGGGCAGGCUCAGCGCAGGGGUUAUGACGCGGUACGGGCUCUGCGCACCACGGCGUUCAGUGGUUUUCAGGCAAAGAAACUGAGGCACGCGGGAGAAACUUUACCUCACACCAUGCACCUGCACCCCCCUGCGUAGGGAGAAGGGGCUGCCUCCCUGCUGAGCAGAACCCCAGAGCGGAGGACGGUGAGCCAGCAGGCACAGACACACACAGCGUUUGUGUGCAGCCACCUUUGCUGACAGAAGACUUCAGGUGAUUCCAUUUGCAUGGAUGAGUAACAGCUGCCCCAGCAUCCACCAGUGGUCCCUAAAAGUUCUUCACGUCCUAAAAAGUUGGAGGUUACAAGAAAAGUCUUUCCACCCUCAAGAUAUAUUUUCACUGUAAGAAUAAAGCAACUACGCUUUUCUUCACAGAGCACCUUAAGCAUCUUCAGAUUCUCAAGCCUCAACUAAGGUUUUGAUUCCCCUUGUUCUCAUCUGCAUUAAUAUUUUUAAAUAAAUAUAAAAGAGGAAUUCUCUGUGUUCUCUCACUCUUGGAGCCCAGAGCUGUGAAGGCACAGAGGGAGCAACUCCGCAGGCGUCCUGCGUACUUGCAAGGAUCAGGGCCUCAGCUUUCCCUACCCUUGGUGCUGGUGCUUGCCCGUGCCACACACAGGAUCUUGUUAUCUGCCCCCUUAUUGCUAGGGUGGCAUUUUUAUUACCCAUCAUCUCUUCCUUGAAAUUCCAGAAACCUUCCUCCAGAGCUCGUGUCCAACACUGCUAAGGCAGAGACCUCACCGAUCCGUGUUAUCUGAACAGCACGGACCCGCUGCUGUGCUACGUACAGACCAGUGAGGGACUCGAGCAGCGCUUGUUCACUCGGCGGUCAGCUCCUGGGGCACUCAUGUGCCCAUUAAAAGUGACUAAGUCAACAACAAAGCUAUCAUCACUUGGUACUUGCUAUCUGGAGGUACGCACUCUACUGGAUGAAUAUGAGUUCUGUUUGUUUAAGAGGUUCAUUUAAUGUAAAGGAUCAUUGGAAUUACCGGUCCUGCCACCUCUUUUAAUUCUUUCUAAGAAAGUUCAGAGCUGGCUUCUGAGAAAACAUUAAA